UACGUAGGGUGCGAGCGUUAAUCGGAAUUACUGGGCGUAAAGCGUGCGCAGGCGGCUUACUAAGACAGGUGUGAAAGCCCCGAGCUUAACUUGGGAAUGGCGCUUGUGACUGGUAGGCUGGAGUGUGGCAGAGGGAGGUGGAAUUCCACGUGUAGCAGUGAAAUGCGUAGAGAUGUGGAGGAACACCGAUGGCGAAGGCAGCCUCCUGGGCCAGCACUGACGCUCAGGCACGAAAGCGUGGGGAGCAAACAGG
rnacentral:rRNA from 1 species